UAUUACCAAUGUAAGAUUGGGAAAUGCUGUUAGAACGGUAAGGGCACUAAUUUACCCUGAUGGAAGCCGAUCUCACCAUUUCGGUAAUAAAAUUGUGCAGAUUGCACCUUUCUCUCUCUCUGAUACACUAAUGAUUAGCCCUCAGUCAUCUCUUCCCUCUAUCCGGAUGAAUCCGGAAAUAGCUAAUGAGGGCCUACGAUGAUAAUUACACGAUCCGAUCAUCUUGACUAAUUAAAUUUCUGAAGUGGGUUCUUUUUCGGUUGAUUCCUCUGUUUUCUUUUUCUGCUCAAGCUUUGCUCUGUUAGUUGCCUUCUCUUGCAAAUUUAACUUGUGCUUGAAAGCGAUCAGUGUAGAGAUGGGGUGUCGGCCAUAGAUCGAUAAGGUAUUGAGUCAGCAACUAGAAUCGAGAAAAGAGUAAUAGCUAUUUAAUAAUUGCAUCCACUCACAGAAAGGCUUUCAUGAGUGGGGGUUAACUUGUUAUGGAGAAACCAGUGCUCGUCCUCAGCAAAAAUGCUCGUUUCUAUGCGAUUGUGAAGCCAAUUCACGAGGAUGUGAAGCCUGAGAGGUGGGUAUGUAUGUAGUCUUUUUGUUUAGAUUCUCUUUGCAUUUUAUUAUUAGUUUUACAAUUAGUCUGUUUCUGCUUGAUGGGUUCUAAGUUAGAAACCCCUUCGGUUUUGCAAUAAGAAGUUAGAUUUGGCAUCUAUGAGGAGAGACAGUUUGCAGUUUC